CCUGCGGGGGGCGGGGCCGUGCAGGGGCGGGGCCACGCAGCCUGGCCUGCCCCUGUGCCAUGCGGCCCCGCCCCCGUGGCCCCGCCCCUACUCGAGGCCAGGGCUGCAAAUGAGGCCUGUUUGAAGGGAAGGCCGCAAGCACCGCCGGUCCUUUCCCCUUGCCUUCUGCCUGGAGGGAAGAGGGCAGCCCUGGGCUCAAUGGCUGCCGGGCCAAGAGAACCGGGGCCCUGGACUCAUCGGAUCCAUUUACUGCUGAAACGAACCGUUGCAAGGCUGGGCCACAACAUCCACUGACUGAAGAUCAGAACGACACCCAGGAACCGUAGUAUCCACAGCUAAAUUACCACCAUCUUUCAAUAGCGGCCGAUGGAAGCGUGGUUUAUAACCCUGAUCUGAUUUUUGUAAAUGAAAGCAUAAUCCAUCAAUGCAUUAAAAGGGUGUUAAACCCGAUACCCAAUACUCAACACAGACCAAUAUACUGCGCAGCAUAUGCAGCUUUAAGACCAAACAGUGUCCCAUUCCGCAGAAGAUAUAACUUCAAUAAAGCUAACUGGACAAAGUUUACAGAGACCUUGGAAGCAGCUAUUUCUGAUAUAGAACCUUCUCUAGAAAAUUAUGACCUGUAUGUAGAAGCUGUGAAAAGAUCCUUGAGGCUCUCAAUCCCUGGAGGCUGUCGCACAAGCUACCUACCAGACCUAAAUGAAGAAUCGCUAAAUCAGCUACAGGAAUAUCUCAGACUAUUUCAAGAGACUCCAUACAGUGAUGUGACUAUAGUAGCAGGCAAAAAACUAUCUACAGCCUUAGCUAAUGCUAAGAAAGACUGCCGGAUAGAGCUGCUUGAGAACCUUGAUAUGUCCAAGAGUAGCCAAAAAGCCUGGUAAUUGCUGAGACGCCUGGAUAGUGACCCUCUGGUCAACCAUGGGCAUGCAAACGUAACACCAGACCAGAUAGCUCACCAGCUAAUUCAGAAUGGGAAAACCAACUGCAGCAGAGUAAAGAUGAAAAUCAACAGGGUGCCAGAACUUGAAACCCACCAGUUGUCAUAUCCCCUAAACCUGAAAGAACUGAGAGAAACCAUCAAGUGAUGUAAAACUGGUAAAGCACCUGGCCUAGAUUACCUGAUGAUGGAGCAAAUCAAACACUUGGGGCCCAAAGCUGAAAACUGGCUUUUGAAAUUCUACAAUCAAUGCUUGGCACAGAAACAGAUUCCCAGAACAUGGAGGAAAACUAAGAUCAUUGCCAUUUUAAAACCUAGUAACCCUGCCUAACCCUGCCAAGACACAAGUGUGUGUUUUCCACCUACAUAACAGUGAAGCCAACAGAAAACUGAAAGUUACUUGGGAAGGCCAAGAGCUCGAACACUGUUUUCAUCCUAAAUACCUUGGUGUCACCUUAGACACUAACAUAUAGGAAACACUGCAUGAACACCAAGCACAAAGUAGCUGCACGCAAACAACAUCCUGCGGAAACUUACUGGCAGCACAUGAGGUGCAGACCCACAAGUAAUAAGAACAUCAGCCCUGGCCUUGUCUUUCUCAACUGCUGAGUACGCCUGUCCUGUCUGGCAAAAGUCUGCCCAUGCGAAGCAGGUGGGCAUAGCACUGAACGAAACAUGCAGAAUCAUCACAGGAUGCCUUAAACCUACACCUGUUGAUAAACUCUAUACGUUAGCUGGCAUUGCCCCUCCCGACAUGCGAUGGGAAGUUGCUGCUAACGGUGAGAGAAAUGAGGUCGAACAUUGUGAAAGCCACCCAUUGCAUGACUAUCAGCCUCCUCCCGCCAGACUCAAAUCAAGGAAAAGCUUCAUGAUAACCACCACUCCUCUUGAUGUUCCUCCACCACUCCUCUUGAUGUUCCUCUGGGCAGCUAAACCAGGCAAUUCCAACUGGAUGGCCCCCCAUGAGGGUCUUCCUCCAGGGGCAAACAAGAAUGGGCAACUUGGAAAUCCCUGAACAGACUCAGAAGCGGAGUGGGCAGAUCUAAAGAUAACCUGGCAAGAUGGCACUACCUGGAGGAAUCCUCCACCUUGUGUGACUGUGGAGCUGAACAAACAACUCUGCAUAUGUAUGCUUGCCCACAAUGCCCUGCCUCAUGUACGGAGUAGGAGUUGUUUAAAGCUACGGAUAAUGCGGUCGCUGUUGCCCACUUUUGGUCAAAACUAUUUAGCUAUUUGUGAUUCCUUUAUUUUAUCACUUUUGGACUUGUUUGUUAUGCAAUGCUUUUGACACGAAAUAAAAUAAAUAAAAUCCACA